rnacentral:rRNA from 1 species
UUUAAGACGAGAGUUUGAUCCUGGCUCAGGAUGAACGCUGGCGGCGUGCUUAACACAUGCAAGUCGAACGAAGCACUUUACUUUGAUUCCUUCGGGUUGAUUAGUACUGUGACUGAGUGGCGGACGGGUGAGUAACGCGUGGGUAACCUGCCCCAUACAGGGGGAUAACAGAUAGAAAUGUCUGCUAAUACCGCAUAAGACCACAGCGCCGCAUGG